rnacentral:rRNA from 1 species
GAUGAACGCUGGCGGCGUGCCUAAUACAUGCAAGUCGAGCGAACGGACGAGAAGCUUGCUUCUCUGAUUUUAGCGGCGGACGGGUGAGUAACACGUGGAUAACCUACCUAUAAGACUGGGAUAACUUCGGGAAACCGGAGCUAAUACCGGAUAAUAUUUUGAACCGCAUGGUUCAAAAGUGAAAGACGGUCUUGCUGUCACUUAUAGAUGGAUCCGCGCUGCAUUAGCUAGUUGGUAAGGUAACGGCUUACCAAGGCAACGAUGCAUAGCCGACCUGAGAGGGUGAUCGGCCACACUGGAACUGAGACACGGUCCAGACUCCUACGGGAGGCAGCAGUAGGGAAUCUUCCACAAUGGGCGAAAGCCUGACGGAGCAACGCCGCGUGAGUGAUGAAGGUCUUCGGAUCGUAAAACUCUGUUAUUAGGGAAGAACAUAUGUGUAAGUAACUGUGCACAUCUUGACGGUACCUAAUCAGAAAGCCACGGCUAACUACGUG